GGUUUUUUGUAUUAAAUAAAAAAUCUGACCUGCCCUAUGAUAAAUUAAAUGGCCGCGGUAUUUUGACCGUGCGAAGGUAGCAUAAUCAUUAGUCUUUUAAUUGGGGACUGGAAUGAAUGGUUGGACGUGAUAAUGACUUUUUUGGUCUUAUAUAUUGAAUUUUACUUUUUGGUGAAGAGGCCAAAAUUUUUCCAAAAGACAAGAAGACCCUAUUAAGUUUUAUUGUGUAUAUAUUUUUUAUUAGAGGUGAAUGUGCUAAGUGUAUAAUAAUUUUGCUGGGGCGGUAAGUUAUAACUAAUUAAUGGUCCACAAUUUGUGAUUGUUUGAUUAAAUUACUAUAGGGAUAACAGCGUAAUCUUAUUUGAGAGUUCAUAUCGACAAUAAGGGCUGCGACCUCGAUGUUGGAUUAGAAUACCUUUUUGGAGCAGAAUCUUAAAGUGGUGGUCUGUUCGACCAUAAAACUUCUACA
rnacentral:rRNA from 1 species